rnacentral:misc_RNA from 1 species
GUUUUAUUUAGAGACGUUUGCACAUGGAAGAUUUAGUUGUUUAUUUUAUACAACACCUAAUUUGAUUAAGAAAUUCUAGUUCAGGUUAUUUGGUACCUAACACAGUUAAAAUUAUUACGUUUUGUUUGCUGAGAAAAUCUAAUUCAAUGAAAUGAAGUUAAUUUUUGAAUUGUAAUGUUUUUCCCAAUUAUCAACUCCUAACACAAUAGCCUACUCCGCUAUUGACAAUUGUGAUGUCUAUUUGGAGAAUUACACUCUUUGAUCUUAUCCCUUUUGUUCCAAACAACUUGAGAUUAUGAUUCACUGACUUGUUCCUUUCUUGCCUUUAAGUUUCAUAACAACUAGGUAUAUUGAGGUCUUGGAGCAUGUGUUUCAGCUAGUUUGUUAGCUAUUUAUUUUCACUUGUUGUUUGGGUAGUUCAGUCUUUUGCUGGUUGGAUCAAGUGCUUUGCUUUCCUUGGUAGUUUACCUCUUUAGCUACUUAGCUAGUAUUUGUCUGUUGUCUCUUGUUUAUGUGCCUAAGAUUUGGUUUUAUUAUGUGCCUAACGUUUGGUUUUGUUUUUCUUCAUUGUGUUGUCUCUUGUGCAUAUACCUACCAUCUAGUUUUGUUUCUUGUCAUUGGGCCUUGUUUUGUUUGUUCUUUUGUAUUGAUCCUAAAAAUAAUGAUAAAUUAAAUGAAAUCCAG